rnacentral:rRNA from 1 species
GUAGGUGGCAAGCGUUGUCCGGAAUUAUUGGGGCGUAAAGCGCGCGCAGGCGGUUCUUUAAGUCUGAUGUGAAAGCCCACGGGCUCAACCGUGGAGGGUCAUUGGAAACUGGAGAACUUGAGUACAGAAGAGGAAAGCGGAAUUCCACGUGUAGCGGUGAAAUGCGUAGAGAUGUGGAGGAACACCAGUGGCGAAGGCGGCUUUCUGGUCUGUAACUGACGCUGAGGCGCGAAAGCGUGGGGAGCAAACAGGAUUAGAUACCCUGGUAGUCCACGCCGUAAACGAUGAGUGCUAAGUGUUAGGGGGUUUCCGUUUUUUAGUGCUGCAGCUAACGCAUUAAGCACUCCGCCUGGGGAGUACGGCCGCAAAGGCUGA